rnacentral:rRNA from 1 species
AGGACGAACGCUGGCGGCGUGCUUAACACAUGCAAGUCGAGCGGUGAUCCUCCUUCGGGAGGUGAUCAGCGGCGAACGGGUGAGUAACACGUGGGCAACCUGCCCCUCACACUGGGAUAACCUCGGGAAACCGGGGCUAAUACCGGAUACGACCUCGAGCGGCAUCUCUUGAGGUGGAAAGCUCCGACGGUGAGGGAUGGGCCCGCGGCCUAUCAGCUUGUUGGUGGGGUAAUGGCCUACCAAGGCGACGACGGGUAGCCGGCCUGAGAGGGCGACCGGCCACACUGGGACUGAGACACGGCCCAGACUCCUACGGGAGGCAGCAGUGGGGAAUAUUGCGCAAUGGGCGAAAGCCUGACGCAGCGACGCCGCGUGAGGGAUGAAGGCCUUCGGGUUGUAAACCUCUUUCAGCAGGGACGAAGCGAAAGUGACGGUACCUGCAGAAGAAGCACCGGCUAACUACGUGCCAGCAGCCGCGGUAAUACGUAGGGUGCAAGCGUUGUCCGGAUUUAUUGGGCGUAAAGAGCUCGUAGGCGGUUUGUCGCGUCGGAUGUGAAAACCCAGGGCUCAACCCUGGGCCUGCAUUCGAUACGGGCAAACUAGAGUAUGGCAGGGGAGACUGGAAUUCCUGGUGUAGCGGUGAAAUGCGCAGAUAUCAGGAGGAACACCAGCGGCGAAGGCGGUGGUCUGGGCCAAUACUGACGCUGAGGAGCGAAAGCGUGGGGAGCGAACAGGAUUAGAUACCCUGGUAGUCCACGCCGUAAACGUUGGGCACUAGGUGUGGGGACCUAUCGACGGUUUCUGUGCCGCAGCUAACGCAUUAAGUGCCCCGCCUGGGGAGUACGGCCGCAAGGCAAA